CAACGAUGAGUGCGCCGGGGAGAUCUUUACACGGGGGAAGAGAAAGGGGUGCUGGGACUAGAGGUGACGGCAAGGAGGAAUGGGUAGGACUAAAUGACAGCAAGAGUUGCGGCCGGCGAAACGGACGAAGGCCUCGGAUGGUAGCUCUACCACACCUGGCGUGGCCUCUCGCGACGGCGGGCCUUGAGGAGCCAGUAGCGAUUAGAUCCGCCGAAGCAGUCGACUCCUCGCUGCUGAACCGGAGACGGCGACGUGCGGCGGCCGGCCCCGGCGCAACCGUCGUACCUCCUGCUCCAACCCGGCUGAGAUUCCAACCGCCCCUUCCUCUCCGUCGUUGCGAUCGACGUCUUGAGCCCCGGGCCGGCUUGGCUCCCACAGCAGCUCUAAGAGCUACCAUUAGAGACUGCCUCCUAGGUCACUACCACUUUAGGAUGUCUCUACCAGAAUGCUGUUCGAGGUAGGUGGUCGCCGAUCUGCCGCUCUGGUCUGACGCUGCCGCACAGGUGGGGCCACGAUCCGCCUCGUUCCACCUGCGGGAGGAGGGGGGGAGGGGUCGAGAACUUAACCGCUGGUACCCCUUCCUUCCUGCCUGUUGGCGUCGUCCCACACCAUCCUAACGUAGGAGUUAGAGGGGGGAGAGGGACGCGCGACGCGGCCAGCGAGAGUCACCUCCUUCGUAGGUUAAUCCACCACCACCGAGGCUGCCAAACCCAUGUUGUGCAGACCAACGUCUCUCCGUCCACUAAUCUCAUCUUCGGCCGUUCGCCGCAGGCCUCUAACGCGUUACUGGUUGUUCACCGACUACGAACGUGUACCUUACGAGAGAGACUUCAACAAGUUCUGUUUCACUUGACGAUUUGUCACCUACAUUGAUCCAACUGUAACUAAUUCUUCACGAUUUGUCACCUGCUUCGAUCCAACUGUAACUAAUUCUUCAUGAGUGGGGCAUUUCUUUAUAUUCUCGCAAAUCUAGUGAUGAAAUCAAAGAAUCACUAGAUUUGCAAGAAUAUAAAAAAAUGUCUCCCUCAUGUAUCAAACAUCCAACAAACUAGAUGAUAUAGUCCGCCGUGGACCUAAGAGUACCGAGAGGGCUGUUACCAGUCACAUGUAAAAUGGAUCUCGAUACCACUAGUUAUGACUUUUCGAAAGGACGUCUAAUAAUUGACGAUAUUUAGUACGUGUCAGGAGGGAUUUUCCUUUUAGUCUGUGUUUUAACAUAAAUGAAGAGGUUCGUAUAUAAAAUGACCUCGUGUAGAAACAUUCUGGUUAUAUGGUAUAAUAAAAUAACAAUAAGUGAACAAGUAAAAGUGUAAACUCUACAUUUGUAACUAUGGUGUAGUACGUACGAAGUCCGUUAAUAAAGAAAAGAACGUAAGAAGACACCUUUAUUGAUUUAGGUAUAUCCAACUUGACAAUGAAAGAUGAGGG
rnacentral:rRNA from 1 species